CCGUAACGAUGACAACCAGCGAUUAGUCGGUGUUAAUAUACGACCCGACUAGCAGCUUCCGGGAAACCAAAGUUUUUCGUUUCCGGGGGAAGUAUGGUUGCAAAGCUGAAACUUAAAGGAAUUGACGGAAGGGCACCACCAGGAGUGGAGCCUGCGGCUUAAUUUGACUCAACACGGGAAAACUCACCCGGCCCGGACACCGUAAGGAUUGACAGACUGAGAGCUCUUUCUUAAUUCGGUGGGUGGUGGUGCAUGGCCGUUCUUAGUUGGUGGAGCGAUUUGUCUGGUUAAUUCCGAUAACGAACGAGACUCUGGCCUAUUAAAUAGUCGGUAUAUCCAGAAAAGUUUACCGUACUUCUUAGAGGGACAAACGGCGUCUAGCCGCGUGAAAUAGAGCAAUAACAGGUCUGUGAUGCCCUUAGAUGUCCGGGGCUGCACGCGCGCUACACUGGAGGAAUCAGCGUGCUGUAACCAUUGCCGAAAGGCAUUGGUAACCCCUUGAAAAUCCUCCGUGAUCGGGAUCGGGAAUUGCAAUUAUUUCCCUUGAACGAGGAAUUCCUAGUAAGUGUGAGUCAUCAGCUCACGUUGAUUACGUCCCUGCCCUUUGUACACACCGCCCGUCGCUGCCCGGGACUGAGCCGUUUCGAGAAAAGCGGGGACUGCUGUUUCGAUACCUUUCGGGGUGGAGAUUCUUUGGUGGAAACCGCCUUU
rnacentral:rRNA from 1 species